GGGGCGAGGGGGAGGGGGGGGACCACCCGGGCAUCUGGUUCACGCUCUUUCUGCUCUGGUUUCAUUUCGCACCAACAGCUUCAGUAACCGACAUCGGUGCAGGUGCUUCCAUUUACCUGUCAGGAAAGGCGGAGGAAAAAGAAGAGGACGAACAGCAGCCGGAGGGAUGGACGUCACAGGGACAGUGGACGCAUCUCUACGCUGCUGAAUCCCUCCCACACCACCAUAAAGUUUGCUGACGAUACCACCAUUGUGGGUCUGAUCACCAACAACGAUGAGACGGCCUACAGAGAGGAGGUGAUGCUCCUGGCAGAGUGGUCCUGGACCUGUCUUUCAAUGUCAGUAAAACUAAGGAGCUGGUGACUGACUUCAGGAAACAGGAUACGGUUCAGGCAC
rnacentral:lncRNA from 1 species